rnacentral:rRNA from 1 species
ACUCAAAGGAAUAGACGGGGGCCCGCACAAGCGGUGGAGCAUGUGGUUUAAUUCGACGCAACGCGCAGAACCUUACCAGCUCUUGACAUGUCUAGGAUCGGUCGCAGAGAUGUGACUUUCCCUUCGGGGCCUAGAACACAGGUGCUGCAUGGCUGUCGUCAGCUCGUGUCGUGAGAUGUUGGGUUAAGUCCCGCAACGAGCGCAACCCCCGUCCUUAGUUGCUACCAUUUAGUUGAGCACUCUAAGGAGACUGCCGGUGAUAAGCCGCGAGGAAGGUGGGGAUGACGUCAAGUCCUCAUGGCCCUUACGGGCUGGGCUACACACGUGCUACAAUGGCGGUGACAGAGGGACGCAAAAGCGCAAGCUUUCGCAAAUCUCAAAAAGCCGUCUCAGUUCGGAUUGGGCUCUGCAACUCGAGCCCAUGAAGUUGGAAUCGCUAGUAAUCGCGGAUCAGCACGCCGCGGUGAAUACGUUCCCGGGCCUUGUACACACCGCCCGU